rnacentral:lncRNA from 10 species
GGCUUUGGUCACAGUGACCGCCACCGUUGCCCGGGGAUGGGUCCCUGAGACUUGGCGAAGUAGGAGCCCUGUGUGAUCGUGCGUCAGAGUCGGGGCUGAGACCAGUCCUGGCCAGGGCAGUUACCAGGACGGUCUCCGGAGGCCGGGAUGCGCGGAGGCUCCACCAGCAGGAAGAAACGCCAGGAGGAAGAAACCUGAGACAGAUCGCCGGGGACGCAGCGCGGGAUCCCAGCCUCAGGCUUGCGCGGACGGUGUGCGGUGAAAAUACAAUGAGAAGGCAGCUGUCUGCAAGCCAGGAAGAACCCUUACCAAGAAUUGAAUCUGCUGGCACCUUUAACUUGGACUUGCCAGCCUGCAGAACUGUGAAAAACAAAUGUCUUUUGUGAUCAAGUGCCAAGAUGACUUACUAGAAGCAGCUAGUAUGCUCCACUCUCGUGAAAAGGAAAUAGACUGGCCAGUAAACACUAGCACUUCAACUGGAUCUUCCAAGAGGACAUGUUGGGAUUCAGCAAGGAAGCAACAGAAGCCAUGGAGAACAAAAACAGCAAGACACAACAGCCACCCACCCAGGAUUGGGUGGAGUCAGGGGAGGAUCCUUACCACAAAGAAAUAGUGACUGAGAGAGAGCCC